rnacentral:tRNA from 1 species
GGCGCUUUAGAGCAGCUUGGUAGCUCGUCAGGCUCAUGCCCUGAAGGUCGUGGGUUCAACUCCCUCAGGCGCUU